UGACAACGCUGCUUCAUUUCUACCUGAAUUUAACCAGUUAUUUAGUAUUGGAAAAAUGUUUUGUGCGAAAUGCUCAGCUUUGCGGACUCGGCGGCGCCAUAUUAGAGCGGACGGUGGGGGAGGGGUGAACAGGGAUUGUUUAAGAGCAACACGCAUGCGUAUGUCUCACUGUCAAGGCGGGCCGCAAGCUGCGUAUGUCAUUCAACUUUUAAAUCCAUAACCCAAGAAGUUCCUCGGCGAGUCUUUAUUAAUGAACUGGCCAGCUUAUCUGUUACUAUAUACUUUGAGGGCACGUCGAAGCCUUGCUUAAUACGGAACGAUUUUAGAAGGCUGUUGUAUGUUUUCAUAUGUAUUUUCGGAGCGCCCCUCAGUGUUCUGUGAAAGAAUUAAGACCAUGAUGUUCCUGAAAAAACGUGGUGUAACGCGAGGUACCCUUAACUGUUCACCUUAUGCAUUACGAGAAUGCCGCCUAUGACCCGGUUAAUGAGACCUAUCCAAUCUCACGUGCUCCGCUUAGAAAAGACCUGGUUCUCACUUAUUUUCAUGUGCAUUUUCCCUCUCUCGGGUAGGUCUCAAUAAGAACAUUGCUGUGGUAAGUACAUUCUGCAGCUGAUGUCCUGAAUUGAAUUGCUCAUGAGACUUAGAUUUUCACUGAACAUCCUGUCAUUUGAAUUCAUUGAAUCUGUCUUGAUGCAAAAUGUAGGCUCCUCCCUGACAUGAUAUUACGUUUCUCAUUUUGAAUAAGCUGUUGUAUUGAGGGGGAAAAAAGUGAUGAUUGGUAGGUUGCAGAAAAUUCAGGAGGUAGAGAAAAUGCAUGAGAGAGACUCCACACCGAAUGUACGUUGUAUGUUAGGAGUUAAUAUGAUUCCGAAAUGGGAAAACAUUAUUACCCUAACCUUUUUUGUUUGCAUGUUCUCUUACAGAAUGUUUUUCUGGGUUCAAGUCUGCGGCGUUUGCCUGAAGAACUGCGAAGCCGCUUUCCAGAGAUUGCCUGGACAGAAAUGCUGUCUGGACCGGUUACGUCACUGUAGUGUCAAAGUGCUUACAGUGCAGGUAGUACUAUGGAAUAUCUACUGCAGUGGAGGCACUUCUAGCCCUACAUUGACCACCAUACAUGACCCCAUGGGACACCAUCAGACCUGAGUAAAACUACUACUUGUGCUAAGGUGCAUCUAGUGCAGAUAGUGAAAUAGACUAGCGCCUACUGCCCUAAGUGCUCCUUCUGGCAUAAGGGCUGUUACUUGCAUCUGAUAUUACACGAGGAACCUUUAUCUGUUUUUGUUUUAUUUUUUGCAGUUCUCUGUUAGUUUUGCAUAGUUGCAUUACAAGAAAAAUUGAGUUGUGCAAAUCUAUGCAAAACUGAUGGUGGCCUGCUUUAUCCUUCUAUUGCCCCCCACCCCCACCAGAAAUAAAAAAAUAAUAAAAAUUGGAUGCACGCUCAGGGAUGUGGCUGCACUUGUGCCUCUGCGAAGACUGGAAAUUGACUUGGUGUGUAUUUGGUUGCGAACAUCUCGGAUGAUCUUAUGAGUUUCAGCAGUAUUAAAGUGCUUAUAGUGCAGGUAGUUUUUAGUCAUCUACUGCAGUAUGAGCACUUGAAGUACUUCUAGAUAUAUGCAUCGGAUUGAGAUGUCAGUGCUUCGUCUGAUUGUCUCUGGUCUCUGGUCAGUUUUGCUGGUUUGCAUUCAGCUUCAGUUCUGGUGCUGUGCAAAUCCAUGCAAAACUGAUCAUAGCCGUGAAUUGCAUCCGUUGAAUCUUCAAGCGGUCUCUUUCUGUGCAGGUUGGGAUGAGUAGCAAUCCUGUACAUUGGUGAAGUAUUGCACUUGUCCCGGCCUGUUCAGGACUGAGGGAACAGGCUUUUGCCUCGUCUUCUGCCAUCCUUGUUUGAUAGGAAUACUUGCUUUUGUAUAUCUUUAGAAUGUCUGUGUGUAAACUCUUCGGAUGAGCAGUGAAUGUGUUUUGGAUGUGGCCUGUUACAAUCAAUGUUUAAUAAAAGGUUUUCUUUACACCUUGUUUCCAUUGAAAUUUGUGUUGCUGUGAAAUAUUGACUCAACAUUUUCAUAUUUAACGAUGGUCAGUUGUAAUCGGGUUUUCUGGUUGGAAGAAAAAAGUUUCUUUAACUUCAUCAAGGAACUUGAACUAAAUGAGAGAAUUGGAUGAAAUACAAUUAAUUUGCUGCCAUGUUUAAAAGGGUUACAGAGCAAUGAUGCCAUUCAGACACGUCUUGGCUAAUUGGGCUAUUUUUCCAGUAAGAAUGCAUCAACAGUAUUUAGUAGAUCGAAGCCUAUAUAGGCAGUGUUUUAAUGCAGUACAGUUACCUAGUUGGAAGGAUUUAUGUCUGCUUUGUGAAACUGAAAAUGAUGAAACUCAAAUGGUAGAUGGCCUGAAUUGGGUGUGCCACAAUGAUAAAACUAGGUUUUAAAAAAAAAAAAAAACUUUUUCUAUUUAUUUUUAAUCUGAAUGUCAGCAGUGCUGAUGAAUCUGUUAAUCUUACAAAUAGUGCAGUGUGUAUUUUUUAAGAUUUUGAGCUGACCUAAAUUCGUAAGAUGUUACCAAGUAAUUGGUAGUGGGUGCUGCUGUUGGAAUGUGCUGCUUGAAUUGCAUUCAUAAAUGCCAAGUUGUAAAAACUGGCAAGAGAAAAUCUUUGAGAAAACAAAUGCUUCUAAGUAUUAGCUAGUAAUGUGGUGACAGAACAUAGCAGUUUAAAGAAAUUAAGGGGUAUGUAAACUAGUCUUGGCUGCUCAAUGCUACCUGUACUGCAGGUCCCCAGUGUCCUGACUACAGUUCCAACCUGGCUCUCAGCCUGCCUCCAAAUCAUCCCCAGUUUAAUUGGCUAAAAAAAUCUUUCUCUCCCUCUCUGCCUCAGCUGAUGUGUGGGGAGGGUUCUGGCGCAAAAUGGCUGCCAUGCAUCACUGAGACCCUGAAUGUAUCAGGAUUCCACCUUUUUCAAGGAAUGUAUCUGAAGCGUUUGAGGACAUCAUUCAGCAGACAGAAAAAACCAUGGACACGUUGUUCCUCUGUGCCGACAGGAACAUGGCUGCCGGUACGACUGACUUGGUCAGGAACCUGUUUGCUUUGAGAGUAUGGUUGCACUGGGCUUUGAGCUCAAAGUGGGUGAUUCCAUCCAAACCUGCUUCUAUGCCCUCUUCCCAUUGGUGCUUUGUCACAUGAUCAAUCCAGGCCCAACUCCUGUCGCCACGGACAACGCCCAAUGCUUCCGGAGGGCCUGCUGGGUGCUCCAUCUCUUUGGGAGCAUUCCCAAGCAGCUGGGCAGGCGAAUCGCGUGGGCCACUGCGCUUCCUGGGUGUGUCUUUCUCCAGGCACUCGGCCUUGGCUCUGAAGUCAACACCACGGACCAUUUGCAGUGCAUUAAGGAGCAUGAGAGGACACUGCUGAAGAUGCCAUACUGCCCCCGAUGCCAGGGCCUCGCCCACAGCAAGCCCUGAAUGUAAUGUGAGGCCGUCUGGCCAGGGCGGGGGAGAUAGAUGGCCACUGGAGGAGCUUGACCUCUCCAUGGAGGAGGUGUCUGCCAGGAUGUGCAGGACCCGCAGCCUGGAGUGAAUGCUGCAACGCAUGCAGCUUCACGUCAACCGCGCGCUCUGGCGUCUACGAAAUCAUCCAAAAACUCAUUUUUGUUUUACAACGUGCCCUUUGGUUGAAAAAAAAGGCUAAAAUGACUCUUUGGAACGUCUCUUGUAAUUACUGUUGCUUGCAUCAUUACUGGACAAAAGAGCACUGAAAAGCCUGUACCAAUGUAACCUUUUGAGGAGACUACUAAAUUUAAAUACUAAAAAACACUUCUGCAAGAUUCCAGUCUUUCAGGCAAAGGGGGAAUGUGAUGCAAGCUACACAGCUGUGGUAUAAAAUCAACAUACCACACAGUAACAGCAUGCCCACAACAUUCCUAAAAUACACUUGGCAGCUGCACCAGGCUAAAGAACAGCCCACUAACUGGUGCAAGGCAGUGGUCCUCUUCUGCAGGAAGGAUCAUGCCCUCUGUGUCUGUCUGAGAUAGAUGUCUGAGAUGUAUUGCACUGGCCCGCUGUCUUUGGAUGUCUAUACGAAUGUUCAGUGCAUCCUUGGGCUUAAUACAAGCCCCAGUCACUAACCCAUAAAAAAUACAAUUAUUAUUUAGUUAAUUUUUCAGGACUCUUAAAAUCCUGCCCAACUGAUUUCAAAGGGUAUGGGCAUAGGUACAGGGAACACGUUUUUUUCUGAAGGAAAGCUAAUAUAUUAGUUCAUUUUGGAUCAUUCACAUACAUUUUAAUGUAGCAUGCAUUUUUUAAUGGGAAUGGGAAACUGGCCAUAAUCAGAUUGGUCAUGAACUACAAUGCAUAUCCUGCCCCAGCAGUACCACCCAGUGCUAGACUCCCUCUUCACUUACUACUUAAGCUCAAUACUCCCAUCUGCUGGAGUGUAUGUAUCACUGCAUUGCCGAAAACAGUCUUUCACCUCAGGAAAUUGAAGAAUUGAUUCUAGAAAAGAUGAUGCCUUGAGGGAUGUAAACAUAGGAGAGCUUAAGAUGGAUGAAAAACUAAAUGAGUAUGCAUUAUACCAGUUUAGAAUGAGCACACAACCAAAUGCCUGCUGCUUGGUCAAAGUAUUGAUUUUUUCAUGUCUUUAGGAGUCCAGCUGAGUACAAAUAUAGCAUAUAAGUUGAAAGGAUAUCUAUGCAUUUUACUACUGUUGCAAAUCUACUGAGGGCUACAUUAAGCUGGUGUUUUGAAUAUAACCAAUUAAUGGCACAACUUCUCUAAUCUAGUUUUAAAUCUAUAUAUGUAUUAAUAUCCAGAAUGAGGAUAUUUAGAAGAAUGAGAAUAACGUAAGUGCUACGUCAGUGUUCAGUCAUUGUCACAUAGAAAACAAAUUAAGUGUGCUGACAACAUUGUCGGUAUUGCAGCACGGCACCAAAGGUUGCCUUGACAAUACCUUAAUGAUACCCAUGGGUUUUGCAACACAUGUUCAUGCCUAAAUUGUAUAGUGUGAUUUGUUGGUGUGCACAAAUUGAUUUUUAUUUUAUAAUAGUACAUGUUGAUCUGAAUUGUAAUAUAAAUGAUUGAAAUUGGUGGUCAAGUUGCACAAAGAAAUUAGAGCUAUACCAGCAUCUGGUCUUUGGAAAGAGUCAGUGGCUAAAACGGAAUUCUUUCAUUUUAUACCCCAACACAAAAUUAGCCUAUUAGUAUGGAUACUCUGCAAGAUUUAAAGAUUAACCUGAGCAUUAUAUACUGUCAUUAAUGCCACCUUAGUUCAUUUAGAAUUCAAAGACAGUGAAUCAAUUGCAUAUUUUGGUGAAUUAACUGCUUUUUCUUUCCUGCUGUCAGCACAUUUAAGCAUUGCCUUUGGCUUACACCAUCUGUGUACUUUUUCAUGAACCAAUCACCGGUGACCAGUGAAUUCUCCCGAAAUUAUACCAAGCUUAAUUUCUCCUUCGAAUGAAGCAAGCAAUCAGAAAUGGCACCCAUUAAAUACAACUGAACAUAGACGCAUUUGAAAUUUCAGUCCAUUUCAUCCGCAAAUGAAUUUGACCUUUAAUACUGAGAACCAAGUUAAGAAAGUACCGUUUUUUUGUAUUAUCUCUCAUGGCAAAAGCCAGGGUAGCUCUAAUGCUCUGGUCUUCUGUGUAGAAUCGUGUGUGCUAUCCUCAAAUCAGUUUUGCUUACAGUUUAACAGAGUCUUAACUGUAUUUACAAUGAUGUUAUCCUGCAAUACAAGUAGCAUUGCAUCACUUAGGCUACUAUGAGCUACAUUUCUGGUUGACCUUCAUAAAGUCACAAACGUGGCAAAAUUCACCCUGAACAUUUAAUUUCCUCAUCAGGAAUUUUUGUAGCGUGUAUGUUGUGAUACUACUGAACACUGCAAUCUAACGAAAGUAUUGUUUAUGUUCCACUAUCUUGAGAUGGGCCACUCUUAUAUACUGUAGUCAUAGGAAGGGGGUUGAGUUGGGGGUUAUGGCAGAUAUUAUAAUUUUCUAAAAAUAAAUUAAAGCAUUGAUGUUUCUCAUUUUAGAUGACAAGGGGUUUUGAGCUUAGUUUUGGUCACUUUAAGACACAAACACAUGUUCAAGAGCUAGUGGCUUCGUUGU